UACAGAGGUCUCAAGCGUUGUUCGGAUUCAUUGGGCGUAAAGGGUGCGUAGGCGGCGCGGUAAGUCGGGUGUGAAAUCUUGGAGCUUAACUCCGAAACUGCAUUCGAUACUGCCGUGCUUGGGGACUGGAGAGGAGACUGGAAUUUACGGUGCAGCGGUGAAAUGCGUAGAUAUCGUAAGGAAGACCAGUGGCGAAGGCGGGUCUCUGGACAGUUCCUGACGCUGAGGCACGAAGGCCAGGGGAGCAAACGGG
rnacentral:rRNA from 1 species